AUGCCAUCGACCCUGGUAUCCUAUUGCAGCACCUUCGGGGGUUGGGAGUGGGAGGCACCAUGUUAUGGUAGUUCUCCUCCUACCUCUCGGGGCGCACACAAUCGGUGUUGGCAGGGGGGGCAGAGAUCGGCCCCGAGGCUCCUCACUUGUGGGAUGCCUCAGAGGUUGGUUCUUUCUCCCCUCCUGUCCAACAUCUAUAUGAAGCCACUGGGUGAGAUCAUCGGCGGUUUCGAGGUGAGGUAUCAUCAAUAUGCUGAUGAUACCCAGCUUUUCGUCUCCACCCCGGACCAUCUCAGUGAUGUACUCCCCAUGAUGUCCUGGUGCCUGGAGGUGGUACGGAUCUGGAUGGGGAGGAACAGGCUCCAGCUCAACCCAGACAAGACUGAGUGGCUGUGCUUACCGGCAUCUCAGGUUCAAGAAAUUCCACCUUUGACCAUGGGGGGAGAGGUGCUGUCCCCCGUGGAUAGGGUGCACAACUUGGGUGUCCUCCUGGACAUAUGGCUCACUGUGGAGGAGCAGGUGGGAGCCAUCACCAGGGGGGCAUUUGCCCAGGUUCGCCUGGUGUGCCAGUUGCGCCCCUACAUGGAACGAGAUGCCCUACACACGGUCACCCAUGCGCUCGUUGCUUCCCGUCUUGACUUCUGCAAUGCUCUCUAUUUAGGGCUGCCCUUGCAGACUAUAUGGAGGUUUCGGCUGGUGCAGAAUGAAGCCGCGUGGGUUGUGAUGGGAGCGGCCCGAUUCUCCCAUGUGACACCCCUCCUGCACAAUCUGGAUUGGUUGCCGGUUGCCCUCCAUAUAAGAUUCAAGGUGCUGGUAUUAACCUAUAAAGCCCUUCAUGGCUUGGGUCCAGGGUAUUUGCAGGAGUGCCUCCUACCAGCAUCGAGGUCCAAUCGCCCACUGCGCUCCCACAGGCAGGCCCUCCUGAGGGUGCCAUUGACCAGACAAUGUUGGUUGGUGGUCCCCCGGGGGAGGGCCUUCUCUGUGGGAGCACCCACCCUGUGGACACAGCCGCCCCUGGGGCUGUGGUUGGCUCCUGACCUUCGUUCCUUCCGCUGCGAUCUAAAGACCUGGCUAUUUUUACAGGCUGGCCUGGAUUGA
rnacentral:lncRNA from 1 species